rnacentral:lncRNA from 10 species
GGGAACCCGGUGCCGGACUGCGCCUGCUGCUAGAGACACAGUUUCACCAUGUUGGCCAGGCUGGUCUCCAUCUCCUGACCUCGUGAUCCGCCCGCCUCUGCCUCCCAAAGUGCUGGGAUUACAGGCUUUCUCUGCUCAGAGCUCCAAGCCACCCGCCUCCUGUGCCUCCGCUCUCUGCUGGAUCCGAGUCCUAGGCCACCCCUUGGUGAAGGGGUAGUGGAGGGAGCCGGCAUGGUCCAAGAACUGGACCUUACCCUCCAAGCCCUGGGGCUGCCCAGACCUGCACCAGGGACCCCCGCCAGCCAGCUGCUGCAGGAGUUGCAUGCUAAG